GUGUCAGCCGCCGCGGUAAUACGUAGGGUGCGAGCGUUAAUCGGAAUUACUGGGCGUAAAGCGUGCGCAGGCGGUUUUGUAAGUCAGAUGUGAAAGCCCCGGGCUUAACCUGGGAAUUGCGUUUGAAACUACAAGGCUAGAGUGUGUCAGAGGGGGGUAGAAUUCCACGUGUAGCAGUGAAAUGCGUAGAGAUGUGGAGGAAUACCGAUGGCGAAGGCAGCCCCCUGGGAUAACACUGACGCUCAUGCACGAAAGCGUGGGGAGCAAACAGGAUUAGAUACCCUGGUAGUCCACGCCCUAAACGAUGUCAACUAGUUGUCGGGAGGGUAACCCUCUUGGUAACGCAGCUAACGCGUGAAGUUGACCGCCUGGGGAGUACGGUCGCAAGAUUAAA
rnacentral:rRNA from 1 species